rnacentral:rRNA from 1 species
UUUGAUCCUGGCUCAGGACGAACGCUGGCGGCGUGCCUAAUACAUGCAAGUCGAGCGGACAGAUGGGAGCUUGCUCCCUGAUGUUAGCGGCGGACGGGUGAGUAACACGUGGGUAACCUGCCUGUAAGACUGGGAUAACUCCGGGAAACCGGGGCUAAUACCGGAUGCUUGUUUGAACCGCAUGGUUCAAACAUAAAAGGUGGCUUCGGCUACCACUUACAGAUGGACCCGCGGCGCAUUAGCUAGUUGGUGAGGUAAUGGCUCACCAAGGCAACGAUGCGUAGCCGACCUGAGAGGGUGAUCGGCCACACUGGGACUGAGACACGGCCCAGACUCCUACGGGAGGCAGCAGUAGGGAAUCUUCCGCAAUGGACGAAAGUCUGACGGAGCAACGCCGCGUGAGUGAUGAAGGUUUUCGGAUCGUAAAGCUCUGUUGUUAGGGAAGAACAAGUGCCGUUCAAAUAGGGCGGCACCUUGACGGUACCUAACCAGAAAGCCACGGCUAACUACGUGCCA